UGGUGCGAUCAUACCAGCACUAAUGCACUGGAUCCCAUCAGAACUCCGCAGUGAAGCGUGCUUGGGCGGGAGUAGUACUAGGAUGGGUGACCUCCUGGGAAGUCCUCGUGUUGCACCCC
rnacentral:rRNA from 1 species